CUUAUCUUGAAAAGUUUUUAAGGAGAUACUCACUUUCCAUUAUUAUUUAUUGUUGUAAAACUUGGGAGAAGAGUAAAACUUGGGGUCCCUCAGAAACCUUGAAAUCAUCUCUGCCUUCUCAGCAGAAAGGUUUGUGUUCUCCAGAAUUUGAUCUUUUGAUG